rnacentral:rRNA from 1 species
UACAGAGGGUGCGAGCGUUAAUCGGAAUUACUGGGCGUAAAGCGCGCGUAGGCGGCUUUGCAAGCCGGAUGUGAAAUCCCCGGGCUUAACCUGGGAACUGCAUUCGGGACUGCAUUGCUAGAGUAUGGGAGAGGGAAGUGGAAUUUCAGGUGUAGCGGUGAAAUGCGUAGAUAUCGGGAGGAACACCAGUGGCGAAGGCGACUACCUGGCCUGUUCUUGACGCUGAGGCGCGAAAGCUAGGGGAGCAAACGGG